AUAGCUCCACCUAAGAAUCAUGCAAUAUGAAGAAAAAGUGAUUUACCGUAUGUUACCAAUGUGCUUAAUAUUUGGUUAUGUGACACAUUUUGAGUAAAAAUUGAAAUAUAUUCAACCAUAAUUGUUGAUGCCUACUAUUAAUGUCAUUUAUACCCUAAUAAAAAUUCAGAUGGGCAUGUUUUCCUCACUAUAUAAGCAUUGGAAAUAUGAUGGAUGUUAUAACAUAUAUCUGCUGUGAACAGGCUAUUUUUAGUAAACCAUUUAGCAUUACAGAAAAUAUGGAAUCUUCCAAACAAUAUAUCAAAUUUUUUUAUUUGUAGCCUUGCACCUAUCUCAAGUUAUUUUCAUUUUAAAUUAACCGCUUUUUCUUACUAUUCCAAGAAAGACAACUCAUGUUGAACUUCAAAACAAGUAAAAAAAAAAAUUUCAUAUUGUAUGCUGCAUCUUUUGAAAAAAAAAACUAACAGUUUGAGAAAUUGUUAAUUUAGUAAAGAUUCAUUUGUUUAUGGUGUUAGAUUGGAUAGAUUAAUAAUUUUUACUAAUCAUUUUUGUCAAGUGCAUCUUGUAUAUUGUUUACAAUUCAUCACUUCCGGUUCUGCUUCACAACAUGUGGAGGCAAAUUUACGAUGUUGUUUAUGCAGCUUUCUGCAAAGUAAUUCUAGUUGUGGUCUUUACUAACGUUACUCAAAAGACACAACUCUUAUUAAGCUAAGUUUGUGUCACACAGAGAUGUAAAAUAUCACUUGAAUUAGCUGUUGGACUGAAAUUCUGAAUGUAGAAGUAUCGCUGCGUACAACUACAAAUUACUACAAUCAUGAACGAACAACUGAAGAAAGCAGACCUGUUUAAAGUGUUAUCCCACAGAGAAUGGAUUUUUGCUACUAAUAUUUCACUCAGAGUUUAUCCAUCACUCUGUAUCAAACUUGGUAUAAAGUAUUGACAGGGUGAAGGUUACUUAAACUUGUUCACAUCCUGACCAUGAAGGCAAAAGACAGACAUUCAGAGGCCUUUCAAGUUUCCAUAGAGAAAGGAUCCUGGAGGAAUACAAAUAUUUGGAAGUGGUAUCUAAAAUGUAGCUGCUACCAGUGCCAUUUAAAGUUACCAGAGCAGAAAUUUAAGUUAAGGAGAAAGUGAUACACAAGAUUUUCCAGAAGAACUACAUAAUCAUUAAUGAGCUACAUAACAGACAUAAAGCUAUCAGAGUCACAUAUAAAGUCUUGGCGGCAGCAUGUUAUAAGAUGUUUGAACCAAGACCGUUGACAUACUACCCUUUUGGAUGAAUCAAAGCCUGAAGAAGUUUUGAUCAUUAUGGACUGGGCCAUGAAUUUUUUGCCCUAAUCCGUCAAGGAAAAGGAAUCAAAGUGGUUUGGUUAGAAGGGACUGGAUUGGCUUGUGUGUGUCUGCACCUUCAAAGAUAAUGACUUGAUUGAUUAUUUGUGAAAAUUUUUUUCAUAGAAUUAUAAAGAAAAUAAUGCUUUUAA